AGGACUAGUAGAGGGCGGAACCAAUUCCUUAUAUCGUAUCGUCAACCAUCUACCUUCACAAUCCAAAUCACUCCAAUCCACCAUCUCAAACACCUUCAUCUCCAUUCUUAUUCAAACGGAUGAUGAAAACCGAUCUCGUCUGCCGCCUUAGAGUUUCCGGUGCAACCCCCGACGGACAUAAACCAUUGAAGACGCCCAUGGAAGCUCGCAGUCGCGGAACAAGGAAAUCUCUGCAACAUCAAGAAGAGUCUGCCGGCAACAACAGCAUUAGAACAUUGCCCAAAUAAUCAGUGGACAGGUAAAAUUAACUAUAGCCUGCACAAGAUACUAAUCUUCUGAAAGUAAUGACAUUCCAUCACAUUAAGGGGAUGGUGCAACACAGACGUUUCAUCCCUCACCCAUCUUACAGGUGCCCAAAAUAAAUCAUUCAAACAUCAUGAGAGCCAUACCUCCCUAAACGACAAAAACCUUGGAGACUAACAAAGUAUAGAGGGAGUGAGGAAGAAGUAGAACCAUUUUUUCUAGUAUAGAGGGAGUGAGGGACAAAGAAUUCAGUGGCAGCUGCACAUAAGUAACACAACAGGCAAUAUGACAACUUUCUAUGGAUCCAUCAUGUAUGAUGCAUUUAUGAAACUAUAAUUGUUCAAGAAGCCUCAGUAUAGUGCUUAUUUGUUUCAAUUAUUUGCUCUUCUGGGCAAGAAAACAUUGGCAGGAACAUCAUAUCUAUUGAACUUAGGCCACAGCUUCCAUGCAUCUUAAAUGUCCUGAUGUGUGAUGUUGGUCAUGUAGAGCCAAACACGGUAUGAAUUUGAUUCAAACAAGUAAAGUUAUGCGGAGAGUUUCAAUUCAACUCAUACAUAGGUGGAAAUGAGCAGAAACUGUUUUUGACAUAAUGGGUGGCAAACAUGAAAGCUUAACCUAGCAAGACUUUGCAAGAGUGAGAACAUGAUAGGGUGGAAUGACAGUAAUUCCCUACAUAUUGAGGUUUGGAUACCAGUGGUUAAGCAUAGAUUUCAUGUGAGUAGGAGCUUAAAAUGAUAUAUUUGUGCGCAUGGGUGUUUGUCCACAAAGAGAGUGAGGAAGAUGAUCAUCAUUUGCAUGAUGUCACAGAGAGAGAGAGAGAGAGAGAGAGAGAGAGAGAGAGAGAGAGAGAGAGAGGAAUGAUUCCAUUAUAGAAUAUGCAAGUAUAGAAAAAGGGAAGGAAUGGAAACUGCUUCAACUUUAAUUUUAUUUCCCUUUUAAGGAAAAUAAAAAUACAGCAUGAUUUAGUUCACCUUUCCAUCUUCCAAAAUAAUCUUUAAGUUAGGUGGAAUAAUAUUAGUAUAAUGUGAAGACUCUUAGUUAAUGAGUUUAUUAGCAAGGACCUUGAGCAAAGGUCAAUUCCAAAUAAUAUGCACGUACACAUAGGAGCAGUUUUCUUGCUUUUAUAACAUUAUAUAACAUGUCAAAUGAGAAGGAGACGGCAGGGAAAAGGGAACACACCCUAUUGAUGCUAUAUCUAAAUCAUCCCAUUCUUUUCCCUCCCAUGCAAAAAAAAAAA